UCCUGCUGCGGGACUGUACUAGUACAAUUUAUGAAAAUAAAGUCUGAAGCAGCUUCAUGUAGUCGCAUCACACCCAUGGUGAACGGCGAUGACACUUGGCUGGCCCCUGUGAUUUACUUAGCAUCUAGCUUGUUCCAGGUCCUCUGUGCAGCAUGGCAGCCCCAGACAUAAAUGGGAAUGGAUUCCGACGUGUCCAGACAGUGGAAAGAGACACAUGUGGAGCAAAAACACAUGGAUUCUACAGGUACACCCAACAUGAGGCUCGAACUCACAAUCCUG